rnacentral:rRNA from 1 species
UACGUAGGGUGCGAGCGUUGUCCGGAAUUAUUGGGCGUAAAGAGCUCGUAGGCGGUCUGUCGCGUCGGAUGUGAAAACUCGGGGCUCAACCCCGAGCCUGCAUUCGAUACGGGCAGACUAGAGUUCGGUAGGGGAGACUGGAAUUCCUGGUGUAGCGGUGAAAUGCGCAGAUAUCAGGAGGAACACCCGUAGCGAAGGCGGCACUCUGGGCCGAUUCUGACACUGAGGAGCGAAAGCGUGGGGAGCGAACAGG